AAACAGCCCCCUAUGUUUUGAUUCUUUGGCAGUUUUGGACUCCCAAGGCAAAAAAAAUAAAAAAAAUUGACAUGUGGCACCUCACUUAGGGUGCCACGUCAGCGUUGACCGAGUCAACAAUGGACUGGAGGUCCAAAACUGCCAAAGAAUCAAAACAUAGGGGGCUGUUU
rnacentral:pre_miRNA from 1 species